GGGCCCGUGGUGUAACGGGAACACAGCACUCUGUCCAAGUCGCAGAUGCGGGUUCGAAUCCCGCCGGGUCCA
rnacentral:tRNA from 1 species